AGAGUAGCCUUGCCUUCAGGAGAGCGGUGCGGCAGUGCGUAGUGAAUGGCUCAAUAAUGCUCUACACUGUAAAGCCAGAAAUGUUUCUUUUCAAGGAGAACGAGUUCACUGAUCUGAUGCAUCAUUUCAACGUGUGUCUUCGGGGUGACAUGCUUCCAUUGGACGUUUCAGUAGCACAAGGAGCUAUACGCCAUUUUCUAAAAGGUGUCACCUUGGUUCCCUCAAGCUAAUAAAAUUGCUUCUUCUUGUCUUCC